UACAGAGGGUGCAAGCGUUAAUCGGAAUUACUGGGCGUAAAGCGUGCGUAGUCGGUUAUCUAAGUCGGGUGUGAAAUCCCCGGGCUCAACCUGGGAAUUGCAUUCGAUACUGGAUAGCUAGAGUUCGGCAGAGGGAAGCGGAAUUUCGGGUGUAGCGGUGAAAUGCGUAGAUAUCCGAAGGAACAUCAGUGGCGAAAGCGGCUCCUGGACCAGAACUGACGAUCAGGCACGAAAGCGUGGGGAGCAAACAGG
rnacentral:rRNA from 1 species